UGGGUUUGACAUCCUCUGACAGUCCCUGAAAGGGGAUCUUCUCGAUUUAUCGGGACAGAGUGACAGGUGCUGCAUGGCUGUCGUCAGCUCGUGUCGUGAGAUGUUGGGUUAAGUCCCGCAACGAGCGCAACCCUUGUUUUUAGUUGCCAGUACUAAGUUAGGCACUCUAAAGAUACUGCCACGGUUAACGUGGAGGAAGGUGGGGACGACGUCAAGUCCUCAUGGCCUUUAUACCCAGGGCUACACACGUGCUACAAUGGGCUGUACAAAGGGCUGCAACGCCGUGAGGCGAAGCUAAUCCCAAAAAACAGUCCUCAGUUCGGAUUGGAGUCUGCAACUCGACUCCAUGAAG
rnacentral:rRNA from 1 species